CCUCGGCCCUCCCCAGCACCCUCCUUUCCCCUCCCACUCUGUCCUCCCUGAGGCUGUACCUCCCUGCUGGAGUGUUACCUCUUUGAAGCCUCACUGCUGCCUGUGAGGAAGCUGCUGCUGUCCUGACUCCUGCGUCACAGGUGAGGACCUGGGGCUGCCCGCCUCCAGAGAGUGGAGGGAAGAGGGAGGGAGCCAGGCUGCUGGACCAGCGCCCACACCAACCCCACGCCAGCCGCUCCCAGGGCCCACACGGCCCAAGGGAAAGGGCAUUCCAAGCCCAAAAGGGUUCAACAGGCCAGACACGGAUGGACAGACGGUGGGGCAGAGGGAGAGCCAUGAGGAAGAGGAGGCUGUGCAAGUCGUCUGGGGCUGACCACAGAGGCCACAGAGGCCCUACCAAGAUCUGGCAAAAUGCAGUCACCUGUAGCCUGCUUUCAUUCUCUCCAGGCCAGCCUUUCCCAAAACGCGAUGCAGCAGCCCUCGGGUUGAACAGAAAACAGACCUCUGGGCACUGCAGCCUGGAGAUCAUCUGAAGGCCUCUGCAGUCCUUUCCUGGGACAUGUGGCACAGCAGACAUUUGAUCCCACUGGGCCAGGCAAUGCUGUUAAAUAUAAAGCCAGAGCCCCUGAGGGCAGGGCAAAGACAGAGAGGCCAGCUGGACCGCCAGGAGGGCUAUGGGCAGGCCAUGCACCAGCAUCCAGUCAGCACUUGUCCCAGGAGCCCGGGGCUGGCAAGUGCCCUGUGGGCUGCAGGGCACCCUUGGGGCACAGCCCUGGCUGUUGAUGUGACUGCCCAGGUCACACGCUCUUCAGGAGCCAGGCCAAGAGCUAUGACAGUGCAGUUUGGAAGGGAUGUGGCCGGCUUCAGUGGCACCAGGAAAGGAAAACAAUGUUGGAACAUGAACUGCAAGGAGCUCCCAGAUCUGACAUUCCUGGCUGUUCUGAUCUUUCGGUCCUCUGCAGGAUGGAGGCUGCGUGGCUGGAGAUCCCACCGUCACUGA
rnacentral:lncRNA from 1 species